UUGAAUGGCCGCAGUAAUUUGACUGUGCGAAGGUAGCAUAAUCAUUAGUUUUUUAAUUAAAAGCUUGUAUGAAUGGUUGGACGAGAUAAAAUCUGUCUUUGAGUAAAUUUUAGAAUUUAAUUUUUAAGUUAAAAAGCUUAAAUUUUUAUAAAAGACGAGAAGACCCUAUAGAUCUUUAUAGUAUUAUAUUUAUUUUUAAUUAAGAUUAUUUUAUUAUUUAAAUUUAAUAUUAUUUUAUUGGGGUAAUAUGAAGAUUAAUUUAAUUCUUUAUUAUAUUUUUUCAAUAAUUUUUGUUUAUUUGAUCCUUAAUUUAAGAUUAAAAGAUUAAGUUACCUUAGGGAUAACAGCGUAAUUUUUUUAAAGAGUUCAUAUCGAUAAAAAAGUUUGCGACCUCGAUGUUGGAUUAAAAAUAAUUCUAGGUGUAGAAGUUUAGAUUAUUGGUCUGUUCGACCAUUAUAUUUUUACAUGAUCUGAGUUCAGACCGGUGUAAGCCAGGUCGGUUUCUAUCUUUAUUUAAUUAAUAUAUUUUAGUACGAAAGGACCAAAUAUUUAUUAUAUUUAUAUUUAUUUUUUGAAUAAUAUUAUUACUUUGGCAGAUUAGUGUAAUGAAUUUAGAAUUCAAGAAUGUAAUUAUUUUACAAGUAAUAUUGUUUAAAUUUGAUUUUAUUAUUUCUUUUGUUUGUUUUUUAUUAUUGGUUAUUUGUGUAUUAAUUGGAGUUGCUUUUUGACCUUA
rnacentral:rRNA from 1 species